AGAGUUUGAUCAUGGCUCAGGACGAACGCUGGCGGCGUGCUUAACACAUGCAAGUCGAACGGAAAGGCCCUUCGGGGUACUCGAGUGGCGAACGGGUGAGUAACACGUGGGUGAUCUGCCCUGCACUUUGGGAUAAGCCUGGGAAACUGGGUCUAAUACCGAAUAGGACCGCGCGCUUCAUGGUGUGUGGUGGAAAGCUUUUGCGGUGUGGGAUGGGCCCGCGGCCUAUCAGCUUGUUGGUGGGGUAAUGGCCUACCAAGGCGACGACGGGUAGCCGGCCUGAGAGGGUGACCGGCCACACUGGGACUGAGAUACGGCCCAGACUCCUACGGGAGGCAGCAGUGGGGAAUAUUGCACAAUGGGCGCAAGCCUGAUGCAGCGACGCCGCGUGAGGGAUGACGGCCUUCGGGUUGUAAACCUCUUUCACCAGGGACGAAGCGCAAGUGACGGUACCUGGAGAAGAAGCACCGGCCAACUACGUGCCAGCAGCCGCGGUAAUACGUAGGGUGCGAGCGUUGUCCGGAAUUACUGGGCGUAAAGAGCUCGUAGGUGGUUUGUCACGUUGUUCGUGAAAACUCACAGCUUAACUGUGGGCGUGCGGGCGAUACGGGCAGACUAGAGUACUGCAGGGGAGACUGGAAUUCCUGGUGUAGCGGUGGAAUGCGCAGAUAUCAGGAGGAACACCGGUGGCGAAGGCGGGUCUCUGGGCAGUAACUGACGCUGAGGAGCGAAAGCGUGGGGAGCGAACAGGAUUAGAUACCCUGGUAGUCCAA
rnacentral:rRNA from 1 species